CAAAUUCAAAACAGGAAAAUUUGAAUGGAGGAGUAGUUUACCUGGUACAACUCUGACUGUCACAGAUUUAGAUCUCCAGGUGCAGGUGAUCAGAUCAACAGUCUACCAGAAUUAUACUGAGGCAGAGCUGCUUUGUCACAGCAGCUGUCGUCUUCCUGAUCGUUCUUCCUACAUCUGGUUCAAGAAUGGACAGAAAAUGGAAAGGGUGGAGACAUCUUCUUAUAAAGAUCAGUUUUAUCCUGGAGACAUCAUCUCCUGUGCUGUAAAAGGACAUGAGGAUUUCCGCUCUCCUUCAGUGUGUGUGGCAUAUCACGAUGCUGAUCAGACAGCAUGGGUAUUCCACAGGAGUGUCUUGGGACAUCCACCUGGACAGCUGCUGCAACAAUCGGUUUGCAAAACCAAAGAAUUUCUGCACAACCUGUCAGGAACCAUCUCAAGGAAGCUCAUCUGCAUGCUCGUAGUCCUCAUCAGGGUCUCAAUCUCACUGCAGUUUGUCGUCGUAACCAACUUGAGUGGGAAAUGCUCACAGUCGAUGGUGUCUGGGACUUUGGAGAGGUAUUCUCUUCACGGAUGAAACUUGGUUUUCACUGUACAGGGCAGAUGGCAGACAGUGACACCAGAUCCUGACUGAUUUGCGGACCCUCCCCAAUACAGUGAAAUUGCACAUUUUCAUGAACAUUGAGUGGCCUUUUACUGUGGCCAGCCUAAGGCACACCUGUGCAAUACCCAUGCUGUUUGAUCAGCAUCUUGAUAUGCCACACCUGUGAAGUGACAGGAUUAUCUCGGCAAAGGAGAAGA